GUAACUUAAAAUGAGUUUAACCUAGUGAGUGGUUUGUGCCUCGACUGAGUAAUUCACGCCUUAAAUAGAAUUGGAUUAGCGCCUCAAAACUUCCAGUUCAAUCGACGUUUUCUUUGAACACCAAUUUGAGAUUUUUUUACUAUUUCCUUUAUCUAUUAUUUGG